rnacentral:misc_RNA from 1 species
GGCUUUUGCUGCCGCGAGGCGGCUCCCCUUAAAAUCAUCGGUUUGGCCCGUACCUUGCGGCUAGCACCUUUGGCGUUGUAUUUUCCUCGCCUUCGAUCGGUCUUGCUCGCUUCCGCGCCUCACCUCGACUUGCCCUUUGGGUGGCGGUCACUUCUUGACAAUCUGGCCUCAAAUCAGGUAGGACUACCCGCUGAACUUAA